rnacentral:sRNA from 1 species
AUAGCAGCUGGCCCAAUCUUCUAAGGGCCAGUGGAUCAUUCUGUUUUAAUUUGACCCCUACGUUCUACAAUAUCGAUAUUAAUCCGAAUCCCCUCCGAUAUAUUACCGUAUUAUCUUCUACAACUUAAUCCUUGCAGAGUCUUAAGGACUUCUUGUGAUAUAAGCAGCUAAUCUUCACACCGCUGCUUACAUUUAAUUCAGUUGAGAAUAGAGAACUUGAGAAUUCAAAGAGAUGAAAAUAAAAUUGUUGAUGAAAUUGAGUAUGAAAUAAAGCAAUGUCAGUGUCAGUAUCAGCAGUAGUGUCAGUAGUAGUCAAUCUAUGAAGAAUAUAAGCAUUGACAAUAGCAUGAUCAAUAAUCCAGUAUAGAAUUGCCAAUCAUAUGUGAUUGAUGAGUAUAUAAGUUUCAUAGAAAGCUCUAUACUGAUUUGCUAGAUCAAUCCCAUUCAUAUAAUGAUUAUAGUUAUCAAUAAUGAUAGAAAUGUGACAUGUCCAU